rnacentral:rRNA from 1 species
GAUGAACGCUGGCGGCGUGCCUAAUACAUGCAAGUCGAGCGAACAGACGAGGAGCUUGCUCCUCUGACGUUAGCGGCGGACGGGUGAGUAACACGUGGAUAACCUACCUAUAAGACUGGGAUAACUUCGGGAAACCGGAGCUAAUACCGGAUAAUAUAUUGAACCGCAUGGUUCAAUAGUGAAAGACGGUUUUGCUGUCACUUAUAGAUGGAUCCGCGCCGCAUUAGCUAGUUGGUAAGGUAACGGCUUACCAAGGCAACGAUGCGUAGCCGACCUGAGAGGGUGAUCGGCCACACUGGAACUGAGACACGGUCCAGACUCCUACGGGAGGCAGCAGUAGGGAAUCUUCCGCAAUGGGCGAAAGCCUGACGGUGCAACGCCGCGUGAGUGAUGAAGGUCUUCGGAUCGUAAACCUCUGUUAUUAGGGAAGAACAAAUGUGUAAGUAACUAUGCACGUCUUGACGGUACCUAAUCAGAAAGCCACGGCUAACUACGUG